CUCAGACAAAGUCCUGGCCGUCCUGCCGGACUCUUCGGUGGGCGCGCUCACCUCCAAACCGCGGGCAGGUUUUGGUGCCGGCCAGCUGCUGAACGGGGGAGGCGGUCCUCACAGACUCCAGCAGCCUGUCCCCGCCCCCACGGCCCACGACGCCGUGCUGGUUCUGGACCCGAGCCCCGGGGAGAACUUCGGACACCCAGUGGUCCUCUUCUAUGUGGACGUGAAUGUCACGAAGAAGAGGUGCGCCCACCUGGAUGGGAUUUACCUGGCGGACGAGUGUUUGACUCUGGCUUUGAAGGGACGCUGUCAGAACCAGCUGAAGCGUCGCCAAGCUGGACCAGAGAGGAUGAUGGGUAACGGCCGCCUGGCAGGGGGGCUGCGCUCUGGAACCAUCACUGCGAGCAGCGGAACCCGCCAGGUGGAGCGGGCCAUCGGAGGACUCUGUGAGGUCCACUUCCUGCCCCUGGUGGUCGGAGUUGGGGACAGCAACCGAACGCAGCGACUCAGAUGUGUGGGUGGGUGUUACCUUUCACUUUCUGUGCUGUCAGCCGUACCGCCUCAUGCUGGUCAC
rnacentral:lncRNA from 1 species